AUGGAGGUGUCAUGCCUAGGACCGCAGGGGAGCUGGGGCGGAGAGCAUGGGGGAGGCCCAGGGCUUGGGGUGGCAAGGGGACAGAGUCCUUGCUUCUCUGACUCAAAAUGGUCUGAAAUGGCCCCAGGUGACUCCACAGCAAACGUCACCAGAGAACACCAACCCACGGAGCGCGGGGAUAAAGCAGGAAGCCAGAGCAGGAGCCCUGUGGAGCAGUGCUUCCAAGCACAGGGGCCAGGACGACAGGCUCUGAAGGGGUACCACGGAUCAUAAAUAUGCAUAGAUAAAGGAGACUCCAGUCCCUUCCCAGGUCUCCAGCUGGGCUCGAUGAUCGUGGGGAAGAGGCAGGUCCUCUGAGGAGUCAAGCAGAACGCACGUUUCCAGCUGCGAAAGGAACCUUCCAGCCUUCCGUGAAGACAGAAGAAAAAAAGGGAGAAGCAGAGACGAAGCCAUUUUUCAGUCCAAAAGAUGCCUGAAGGGUGUUGCUUAUCUAGAGGUCUUGCUGCGUCAUUCGGGGGGGCCUGCAUCUGGGUGGUCACCUCCUAUCAGCAUUAUAGCAGAUAAGGAGACUAAGGCAUGGAGAGGCCAAAUAUAUUCUCAACUCAGGCUGCCGUUAACAAAAUACCAUGCGCUGGAGAGCUUAAACAACAGAAGUGAAUGUUCUCACAGUUCGGGAAGCUGGAGGCCUCGGAUCGGGGCGCUGCCAUGGUCGGGAUUCUGAAAAAAAGGAAGAAAAAGGUGCAGUUACUCCAAAGGAAGUGGUAGAGGAGGAUGUUGGACCAAGAGGCACACAGUAUUCCUUUCAGUCUGUUAAAUACACCCGCAGAUAUGCGUUUCCAUCUAAGAGAAGCAGGGUAGGGUUGGGGAAUGGAAAGGAGAAACAAUUCCCUGUUUUCUUUACUGAUGACCCA